GUUCAUUACUUUGAUCUCCAUAUAUUCAUCUCUCCUCCCAACAAACUUCUCACUUUAAAAACUCUUCAAGUUCAUCACUUUCAUUUCCUCUGUUUAUUAUAUCUCAAGGAUCAGAUCAUCAUUUGUGGCUUAGGCUCUCUUCGGUACAAUCCUCGUUUUGCGGUUCACGAUUCUCAUCAGAAGGAUUUCACCACCCAAAUUGGAGAUCCAACUUGAACGAAACACAAGCCACGACAGGACCAUGUCUCAACAAGUUUCUUCCGAUUCUCCCAUUUCUGAACAAGCUUCUUAUGCCAGUGCCCAUGAGAUUACACCGGCUACACCCGAGGCUAGGGGCGGAGCCACACAG